rnacentral:sRNA from 1 species
AGGUUUCGGAGCCGCGCACUCCUCCUCCCAGUGCGGCACCGAAUUGGCUGGCAGCCCUCCUCCUCCCAGUUGCCAGUCGCUAUACAUAGCGCCCACCGGACCUCCUCCCCCGGUGGGCGUUAUUG